GUUUUAUGUCGAGCGGGGUAACAGGGAGGCAGCUUGCUUGCUUCGCUGACGAGCGGCGGACGGGUGAGUAAUGUCUGGGAAUCUGCCCGAUGGAGGGGGAUAACUACUGGAAACGGUGGCUAAUACCGCAUGACGUCUACAGACCAAAGAGGGGGAUCUUCGGACCUCGCGCCAUCGGAUGUGCCCAUAUGGGAUUAGCUAGUAGGUGGGGUAAUGGCUCACCUAGGCGACGAUCCCUAGCUGGUCUGAGAGGAUGAUCAGCCACACUGGAACUGAGACACGGUCCAGACUCCUACGGGAGGCAGCAGUGAGGAAGUCAGUGCACGAUCAUGGAUUGCGCAAGCAGCUGAUGCAGCCAUGCCGCGUGUAUGAAGAAGGCCUUCAGGUUGUAAAGUACUUUCAGCGGGGAGGAAGGUGAUAAGGUUAAUACCCUUAGCAAUUGACGUUACCCGCAGAAGAAGCACCGACUAACUCCGUGCCAGCAGCCGCGGUAAUACGAAGGGUGCAAGCGUUAAUCGGAAUAACUGGGCGUAAAGCGCACGCAGGCGGUCAGUCAAGUCAGAUGUGAAAGUCCCCGAGCUCAACUUGGGAACUGCAUCCGAAACUGGUCAGCUAGAAUUCUUGUUAGAAGGGGGGUAGAAUUCCAAGUGGUAGCGGUUGAAAUGCGGUAGAGAAUCUGGAAGAAUACCGGUGGCGAAAGCGGCCCCCUGGACAAAAGGACUGACGCUCAGGUGCGAAAGGCGUGGGGAGCAAACCAGGAAUAGAUAACCUGGUAAUCCAAGCCUGUAAACCAAGGCCAAUUAGAAGGAGUUGUGCUCUGGAAGCGUGGCUUUCUGGGAGCUAACGGCGUUAAAUCGACCCGCCCUGGGGAAUACGGCCGCCAGGUUUAAACUUCAAUGAAUUGGAGGGGGGCCGCCACAGCGGUUGGACCUGGUGUUUAAUUUGGUGCAAACGCGAGAACCUUACCUUAUUCUGACAUUCCAGGAAUCUUUCAAAAGAUGAGGAGUGCCUUUGGGAACGUUUAAACCGGUUGUGCCAGGCCGUCGUUAGGUUGUUUUUUGAAAUGGUGGGUUUAAUCCCGCCACGAGGGCCACCCUUUUCCUUUGUUGCCAGCCGGUAAGGCCGGGAACUCAAAGGAGACUGCCAGUGAUAAACCGGAGGAAGGUGGGGAUGACGUCAAGUCAUCAUGGCCCUUACGAGUAGGGCUACACACGUGCUACAAUGGCACAUACAAAGAGAAGCGACCUCGCGAGAGCAAGCGGAACUCAUAAAGUGUGUCGUAGUCCGGAUUGGAGUCUGCAACUCGACUCCAUGAAGUCGGAAUCGCUAGUAAUCGUAGAUCAGAAUGCCACGGUGAAUACGUUCCCGGGCCUUGUACACACCGCCCGUCACACCAUGGGAGUGGGUUGCAAAAGAAGUAGGUAGCUUAACCUUCGGGAGGGCGCUUACCAUCUUUUUCACCCUAAAAAA
rnacentral:rRNA from 1 species